UGGGGAAUAUUGCACAAUGGGGGAAACCCUGAUGCAGCGACGCCGCGUGAGUGAAGAAGUAUUUCGGUAUGUAAAGCUCUAUCAGCAGGGAAGAAAAAAGACGGUACCUGACUAAGAAGCCCCGGCUAACUACGUGCCAGCAGCCGCGGUAAUACGUAGGGGGCAAGCGUUAUCCGGAUUUACUGGGUGUAAAGGGAGCGUAGACAGCGCGGCAAGUCUGAAGUGAAAGGCAGGGGCUUAACCCCUGAACUGCUUUGGAAACUGCCAUGCUAGAGUGCUGGAGAGGUAAGUGGAAUUCCUAGUGUAGCGGUGAAAUGCGUAGAUAUUAGGAGGAACACCAGUGGCGAAGGCGGCUUACUGGACAGUAACUGACGUUGAGGCUCGAAAGCGUGGGGAGCAAACAGG
rnacentral:rRNA from 1 species